rnacentral:rRNA from 1 species
UACGUAGGGUGCAAGCGUUGUCCGGAAUCAUUGGGCGUAAAGCGCGCGUAGGUGGUCCUGUAAGUCCGCUGUGAAAGUCAAAGGCUCAACCUUUGAAAGCCGGUGGAUACUGCGGGACUAGAGUACGGAAGAGGCGAGUGGAAUUCCUGGUGUAGCGGUGGAAUGCGCAGAUAUCAGGAGGAACACCGGUGGCGAAGGCGGCAUCCUGGACCGGGCAUUGACGCUGAGGCGCGAAAGCCAGGGGAGCAAACGGG